UACUACAGACUAAACUGAGUCUAAAGCACCCAAACCCAGUGAUUUGAAAAACAAAAUAGUGAAUAGAAAUAAAAAAAAGGAAAAAAUCAAAAAGAAAAGUUUGGAAAAGGAAAAUUUGGAGAAGAACGUAAAAAAUGAACAGGAAUUUCGGCAGGAGGCAGAAAAAAACAAAAUAAAAAUAAAAAUUAAUAUUUUGACAAUAUCCCACUAAAUCACAACCCUCUU
rnacentral:lncRNA from 1 species